GCGGACGUGAUGGAAUGGCAUACAUACCAGUCUUAGAAGCUGGGUUUUACGAGUCCGAAUCUCGUCGUCCGUA
rnacentral:tRNA from 1 species